CGGCUCCUGCUCGGGGUUUCCAGACACGGUUGGUCUCCAGAGUUCAAGUGUCCUUUGCAGGCGUUUGGCACUAGGAAUGCUGGUCUGAAAGGCCCGCUGGGAGGCUUCUGCCUUGGGCCCUUUGUGAACAAGUGAAACUGGACGAAGCACAAAGGAAAAGAAGAUUCACUAUCCAUCCACAUGCCCUGUUGGUCCUCACCCAGCGGAGUGACUGCCCUCUGACUGCCCCCGCCCUCGCCUAUGGAGUAGGGAUUCUUCCAGAAGCACUGAUCACAGGUGUGAAUGUUGGAAGAGCCUACUGGAGAUCACCCUUUGCACUUCUUGUUUUACUGAUGAGGAAAUCAAGGCUGGCGAAUAAUGCUGCCAAGUAUAGAAUGACCCUGCCAGGGUCACUGUGUAUUAAGAACUUUGGAACAGAGCCGGGCACAUUGACAGGACACUCAGCCAAUCAGGUGGAACACAUGACCCUGUCUAAGUAACUUUGGCCAUAGUCGUGUGAUAUGCUUUGGUUGGUGGAAUACGUGUGGAUAAGAGGCCCCGAGAGUGAAAGAACAAAUGCUUGUUUUUAACCAGAGGAAGUGAUCAAAGCAAAUGGUCUGGAUAAUAUGGCUGAAGCCAGUUGUGACACUAUGAGGACACUCAAGCUGCCCUGUCAAAACACCUGUGGUGAGGAACUGAGGCCUUUUGGCAACAGACAACACUAACUUGUUAACCAUCCAAACAAGCCACUGUAAAACAGCAUCUCCAGCCUGAAGAUGAUUGCAGCCUUGGACAAAAUCUUGACUGCAAACUGAUGAGAAGUCCUGAACCAGAACCACUCAGCUAAGGAUUUUGAAUUCCUGACUGACUAAAGUUCUUAUUGUUCUAAGCCAAUAUAUUUUGGAGUAAUUUGUCAUAUAUCAAUAGAUAAUGAAUAAAUUGAGUUUCACCAAAUUUAAGAUUUAUGUUUGACUAUUGUUCACAAUAUAGGCCAUUUGACAUAAAUCAAAUCUAAUUUAGCAGUC